CCUGGCUCAGGAUGAACGCUGACAGAAUGCUUAACACAUGCAAGUCGAUUCGAUUUACCUUCGGGUAUUGAGGAUGGCGGACGGGUGAGUAACGCGUAAGGAACUUGCCUCUUGGACUGGGACAACUGUUGGAAACGACAGCUAAUACCGGAUAUUAUGAGAUUCUCGCAUGGGAAACUUAUGAAAGCUAUAUGCGCCAAGAGAGAGCCUUGCGUUCCAUUAGMUAGUUGGUGGGGUAAUGGCCCACCAAGGCGACGAUGGAUAGCCGGCCUGAGAGGGUGAACGGCCACAAGGGGACUGAGACACGGCCCUUACUCCUACGGGAGGCAGCAGUGGGGAAUAUUNGACAAUNGGCCACAAGCCUGAUCCAGCAAUUCUGUGUGCACGAUGAAGGUCUUCGGAUCGUAAAGUGCUUUCAGUUGGGAAGAAGAAAGUGACGGUACCAACAGAAGAAGCGACGGCUAAAUACGUGCCAGCAGCCGCGGUAA
rnacentral:rRNA from 1 species